rnacentral:rRNA from 1 species
AUUGAACGCUGGCGGCAUGCCUUACACAUGAAAGUCGAACGGCAGCACGGGAGCUUGCUCCUGGUGGCGAGUGGCGAACGGGUGAGUAAUACAUCGGAACGUACCACGGCGUGGGGGAUAACGUAGCGGAAGUUACGCUAAUACUGCAUAUUCUGUGAGCAGGAAAGCGGUGGAUCGCAAGACCUCGCGCUCUUGGAGCGGCCGAUGUCGGAUUAGCUAGUUGGGGAGGUAAAAGCUCACCAAGGCGACGAUCCGUAGCAGGUCUGAGAGGAUGAUCUGACACACUGGGACUGAGACACGGCCCAGACCCCGACGGGAGGCAGCAGUGGGGAAUUUUGGACAAUGGGCGAAAGCCUGAUCCAGCAAUGCCGCGUGCAGGAUGAAGGCCUUCGGGUUGUAAACUGCUUUUGUACGGAACGAAAAGCCCCGGGUUAAUACCCUGGGGUCAUGACGGUACCGUAAGAAUAAGCACCGGCUAACUACGUGCCAGCCGCCGCCGUAA